CCAAAAAACAAAAAACCAGGUAGUGAAAAUUGCCAAGUUUCUUCAGCUUUCCUAGUGUGACUCAUCUCCAGGAGAGUAGGAAGCAGGUGGGUCUGAACACAGAAAUCCACACGACUUGCUUCUGCCCUCUGCACAGAAGCGCGUUCUUUAUGCCAGGACCUCAUUCCCUUCCACACAGCUCAGGGAGGGCACUCUUUUAUUUUAUGAACUUGUUAUCAGUAAAUUUAGGACUCAGUGGUCCCUGAAUCCUUGGUCCUUGACCUGUUAUUGUCAGUCCUUAAGGCCCAGACAUUGCCUUUGGCUUCCUUUCUGGAAAAUUUCAGAACUGUAUAAAAAUCACUUGUAAAACUCUGACAGACACAUUUUGCCAAGAAUGUCAUUUAUCUCUUGACAGUUUGGCAUUUGCCUUUAAAUAUUAGAUUGUGUAAUCAUAAUGGCAUUCCAGGAAAAUAAUGUGGUAGGUGGCUGGCACUUUAAAAAGUGAAAUGGACUUGGGUUCUUGGGAAUGUUAAUCAUUAUUCUACACAAAAUGGUGAUACCCCUUAAUAGUGAAAUGCUAAGUGGGUAUAAAGCAGUAUUUGUGAAUAAGAUCAAAAAAGAUGAGUAUAAAAUGUGAUUUAUGGGUUUAUUUAAUGAGUUUUUACCAGAACAAUGUCUGAAGGAUAUUUUAUAUUUUUAAGCUGUGAAACAGAGAAAGUAAUGAGGAAUCUUCUAGUGAGUCCCACCAGUCUCCCAGCCUGACCAGCACAUCCAGAAAUCGAUCAUUAUUUUUGUCAUUUUAACCUGCCUUCUUAGUGCCUUCCUUGCCCUUGACUUUGCAGCAGAGAGGAGAAAGAAACUCGUGGUCUCUCCCAUAAAUACACGUGGUAACAGCAGUGAAGUAAUUAUUAUAUAUUUUGUGGCAAGUCAUUCAUUCAGUGGUGAUGGAAUGGCUUAUUUUUAAUGCAGUGUUUAGUUCAGUUUGCUUUUGGGUUUUCAUAUGAGGUAGACUAUGAGAACUCUUUAAUUUAUGAUGUGAUAUAUAAUUAAAGACAAUCCCAUUGUAGCUGGCAUGUGGGCUAUUACUGGGGAUCAUGGGAAAGAGAAGGCUUGGAGGAUCUUCUUUAUAAAAUACACGUAAGUAUGGACUGAAUUCCAAACAAACCGCAAAAUGGAAGGAACCUCGUUUUAUCGCAUCCAGGUAAAGGAUAGAAAAGGUAUCUUCAGUUUUCCCAGAAGCAACAUCCACAAGGACAACUCGUAAUUUUAAAUGAUUAAAAGUAAUUGCAGUAGAUCAGUGUCAUUCAUAGCAAAUUAGUUCUGAUUGAUGGAGAAUGCUGCAUCUGUGGAUUUUUAUGUUAUAAAAUUAAUUUAAGACUUCUUUUGUUAAACUCGUUUAAUCUUCUGCACUACUCCGUUCUUUCAUUAUCCUUGUCAGUUUUAAGGGCUGGAAUAUCUUUGUACAACUAAAUUCAGUUGACUUCUUCUGGAUACCCAAGUUGAACAGACACAUAUAUUAGUGGAGCUCUGGUUGGAAAGAGGACACCAGUACACACUAUUAGUAGCCUACUGCAUGUGGUUUGUGUUUUUUGCCUUUUUUUUUUUUUAAGAGAAGUUCUCUCUCUCUCAGGCUGGAGUGGAGUGGCACAAUCAUAGCUCACUGCAGCCUCAAACUCCUAGGCUCAAACAAUCUUCCUGCCUU
rnacentral:lncRNA from 10 species